UCCAGACUCCUACGGGAGGCAGCAGUGGGGAAUAUUGCACAAUGGGCGCAAGCCUGAUGCAGCCAUGCCGCGUGUGUGAAGAGGGCCUUCGGGUUGUAAAGCACUUUCAGCGGGGAGGAAGGCAAUAAGGUUAAUAACCUUGUUGAUUGACGUUACCCGCAGAAGAAGCACCGGCUAACUCCGUGCCAGCAGCCGCGGUAAUACGGAGGGUGCAAGCGUUAAUCGGAAUUACUGGGCGUAAAGCGCACGCAGGCGGUUGAUUGAGUCAGAUGUGAAAUCCCCGGGCUUAACCCGGGAAUUGCAUCUGAUACUGGUCAGCUAGAGUCUUGUAGAGGGGGGUAGAAUUCCAGGUGUAGCGGUGAAAUGCGUAGAGAUCUGGAGGAAUACCGGUGGCGAAGGCGGCCCCCUGGACAAAGACUGACGCUCAGGUGCGAAAGCGUGGGGAGCAAACAGGAUUAGAUACCCUAGUA
rnacentral:rRNA from 1 species